GUCAGCAUGACCUUUAUAUCCAGGGCUACACACACGCUACAAUGGUCUGUACAAUGGGUAGCCAAAGCCGCGAGGCGGAGCCAAUCCUGAAAGCAGGCCUCAGUUCAGAUUGCAGUCUGCAACUCGACUGCAUGAAGCCGGAGUUGCUAGUAACCGCAGGUCAGCAAUACUGCGGUGAAUACGUUCCCGGGUCUU
rnacentral:rRNA from 1 species